UUGAUCUGAAAUCAGGUAGGG
rnacentral:rRNA from 1 species